UAUUUUGUAUAUUAAAGUUGUCAACUACACUGACUUUAAUGGAUAAAUUAAAGACAUUUCCCUCCACAGAAGAUAAUAGAGCAACACAUGUGAGAAACCAUGCAGAUUGAAGCAAAGCUCCUCCUCCUGUCAGUCCCUCUCAGUUUCAGUGUUGUAUUAAAUUGCUCCUCCAGCACCUCCUCUCCUCAUCCUCCAAACCCUCUAAUCUGUCAGCAGUGAGCUCACUUUCCAGGUUACAAGGCCGUUCUCAGCACACACUGACAACAUGCUGGGGAUCCUCUGCACUCUCAUCACUGCUCUAACAUGUGUGAGUGGUGUGACGGUGGUGACACAGAAGCCUCCUGUUGAGACGGUGAGGAAAGGAGAGACAGCCACCAUGAACUGUAACCUGGGGACUGUUACUAACAGUGGUACUCGCUGGUAUAAACAGACUCCUGGAGGAGUUCCUCAGUUUGUACUGUACUUUCAUCACAGCAGCAGUUCUCCAACAUAUGGCUCUGGUUUCUCCUCUCCCAAAUUCACGUCUAAUCAUCAGUCAACAUCAGAUUAUCGUUUGAUCAUCAACAAUGUGGAGGAGGGAGACUCAGCAGUGUAUUACUGUAAAACAUGGGACAGCUCUGUUACUGAGUACGUAUCACAGUGA